AGACAACAUGUGGGCAAACCUGUAGUUACCAUCUCCUACUUUUUCACUUGGACUUUGUUAAUGAGCAGCCUUGACCCUGUUUCAGGUCAUCUUGUAUUUGCAGCACAAGUCUCAUCAUAGCCAGAAACAGAAAUGGCAGCUAUGUAUGCACUAAAGUCCAAGGAAAUACCACUACCUGGGCCGGUUCCACCCGUUCCCUCUGUCUCACUUGUGGCAGUGAUCCUACAAAAGUCUGCACUAUUUCCAGUGAGAGAAGUGGCCCCUGAAGCACCUCUGAUAGCAGGAACAGCAGCCAGGUUGCUGUGCACUUCCAUGGCUCCAACAUCUAUCCACCUGGCACAGAUCCGCAGGUAAAAAUGGACAAGGGAG